rnacentral:rRNA from 1 species
UGGUUAUGACAACCUGGUUGAUCCUGCCAGUAGUCAUAUGCUUGUCUCAAAGAUUAAGCCAUGCAUGUCUCAGUACAAGCCAAAUUAAGGUGAAACCGCGAAAGGCUCAUUAAAUCAGUUAUGGUUCCUUAGAUCGUACCCACAAUUACUUGGAUAACUGUGGUAAUUCUAGAGCUAAUACAUGCAAAUAGAGCUCCGACCGGAGACGGAAGGAGUGCUUUUAUUAGAUCAAAACCAAUCGGUGGCGGGUUCGCUCGUCAUCGUACAACUUGGUGACUCUGAAUAACUUUACGCUGAUCGCACGGUCCUCGCACCGGCGACGCAUCUUUCAAAUGUCUGCCUUAUCAACUGUCGAUGGUAGGUUCUGCGCCUACCAUGGUUGUAACGGGUAACGGGGAAUCAGGGUUCGAUUCCGGAGAGGGAGCCUGA